GAUGAACGCUGGCGGCGUGCCUAAUACAUGCAAGUCGAGCGAACGGACGAGAAGCUUGCUUCUCUGAUGUUAGCGGCGGACGGGUGAGUAACACGUGGAUAACCUACCUAUAAGACUGGGAUAACUUCGGGAAACCGGAGCUAAUACCGGAUGAUAUUUUGAACCGCGUGGUUCAAUAGUGAAAGACGGUCUUGCUGUCACUUAUAGAUGGAUCCGCGCUGCAUUAGCUAGUUGGUAAGGUAACGGCUUACCAAGGCAACGAUGCAUAGCCGACCUGAGAGGGUGAUCGGCCACACUGGAACUGAGACACGGUCCAGACUCCUACGGGAGGCAGCAGUAGGGAAUCUUCCGCAAUGGGCGAAAGCCUGACGGAGCAACGCCGCGUGAGUGAUGAAGGUCUUCGGAUCGUAAAACUCUGUUAUUAGGGAAGAACAUAUGUGUAAGUAACUGUGCACAUCUUGACGGUACCUAAUCAGAAAGCCACGGCUAACUACGUG
rnacentral:rRNA from 1 species